AGGAAGGCAGCAGGCGCGCAAAUUACCCAAUCCUGACUCAGGGAGGUAGUGACAAGAAAUAACAACACUGGAAAUUUUAUUUCUAGUGAUUGGAAUGAUGGGAAUUUAAACCCCUUUCAGAGUAACAAUUGGAGGGCAAGUCUGGUGCCAGCAGCCGCGGUAAUUCCAGCUCCAAUAGCGUAUAUUAAAGUUGUUGCAGUUAAAAAGCUCGUAGUUGGAUGUCUGCUGGAAGCAAUCGGUCCGCCCUAUUUGUAGGGUGUGCACUUGAUGAAUUCUGGCAUCUCUAUCCUGAUAAUGGUGUGCCGCGUGGGGGGGAAUUCUCCUCUUCCCGCCACCGC
rnacentral:rRNA from 1 species